ensembl:lncRNA
UGGGAUUAUACUCUGGUCUGGAAACUCUGGGAUUAUACUACAGUCUGGAAACUCUAUUAUUUGCACGAUGGAUCCCUUGGCCAUUCUGAAUCAGCGACCAGUGGGAGUGGCUAAGUGCGAUGAUGUAGAAGUGAAGCGUUUGUUUUGCAAUGUAGUUACUAUGGCGACAGUGUUAGAGCUCAACGAAGCGAUACAAACAGUCGUAGCAAUGCUAGCAAACAUCAACAUUUUGAAGCUGGAGGAAGGUGAAUGUGGAUGUAUUCAUCAAGGGCAAAGACAUUGUUAAUUUACCACCAACAGGGUUUGGGAAAAAGGCUAAUACGUCAGCUUGCAUCGUUAGUGGCGAAGUAGGAAGCAUAGCAAUAUCCUAGUGGUCAAUGCUGAUUGGUUAAAGGCUGGACCCUGAAGUAUGAGCCCAUUAUGAUGCAGUGAGUGUAAACGACCCCCACAGGAGCAAGGCCAGACCCCAUCUAUUCAGAACGCCCGUCUGGGUCUGGGUCUGGGUCUGGGUCUGGGUCUGCCAGACUACCCUCCCUGUGACUGCUACCCGCUCCUCUAUUCCCUGAGUGGGCCGGUCCCAGGGUGCGCAGACGAGAACGUGCGGUUUGGGUGCACCACCUCGGAGCGGGCAGCGGAGGUGUGGAGGGGUCAUUAGGGCUCGUCUAAACAUCAUCAUCAUCACCACCAUCAUCAUCAUAAUCAUCACAAAUUCCAGCGACUUCACGCGAGUAGGUGCAUCUCCUGGUGUUAUUCCCAGCACGCAUCAAAGGAAACUAAUGCAGCAGAAACAAUAGCACAUACCAACCCAUCCUAUUCCUCUUCCUGAUUUUUGGCAGCAUCUGGUAAAUGUAAACAUGUGAGGUGAGUAUCAAGGGCUCCCCAGACUAAAUACCCCUCCUCUAAGUCUGUUACCCCAGUAAGACGGCCAGCUUUGGCAGUAGAGUGCUUGGUUAGUGAUAGUAUGACAUUGAGAGGUUGAUACCAGUUUAAACGGUCUCGACUGUCUACAGGGAGGGAGGGAGAGAGAGAGAGGGAGAGGGAGAGGGAGAGCGAGAGAGAGAGAGAGAGAGAGAGAGAGAGAGAGGGAGGGAUACCAGUGUAAACGGUCUCGACUAGAGAGAGAGAGAGAGAGAGAGAGAGAGAGACCAGUUUAAACGGUCUCGACUGUCUACAGGGACAGAGAGAGAGAGAGAGAGAGAGAGAGAGAGAGAGGGAGAGAGGGAGAGAGAGAGAGAGAGAGAGGGAGAGAUACCAGUUUAAACGGUCUCGACUGUGCAUUUGGAAAUACCAGCUGAUGUCAGCCAAAAACCCUUUGAAUUCCAGAUGGAAUGUGACCCCAUUAACCAAUCUUGUGUAGCCAGAAGUGCACAGUGAGUGUGUGUGUGUGUGUGUGUGUGUGUGUGUGUGUGUGUGUGUGUGUCUGAGCAGGCAAAUGUCAUGUGAGGUCUCUCACACACUUGAGGUUUGAGUGCUGUAACGCUCUAAUAGAAACCCAGAGAAGAGAAACAGAAUCAGUCUAGCACCGGCGGAAUCAGUCUAGCACCGGCGGAAUCAGUCUAGCACCGGCGGAAUCAGUCUAGCACCGGCGGAAUCAGUCUAGCACUGGCAGAAAGAAACAUAUUACCAGGAUAUUUUGAAUAGUACAUUCAUUGUGAUGAGAUUAGAUAGUUAGUGUUUACGUGUUU